GUGAAGAUGGCUUAGUGGUAGAGUUCUUGCCUCUCAUGCAUGAGGCCCUGGGUUCAAUUCCUCAGUACCACA
rnacentral:tRNA from 1 species